ensembl:lncRNA GTF2IRD1P1 GTF2I repeat domain containing 1 pseudogene 1
AGAAGCGCGCAUGCGCAGACGCGUGGCCACAGCCGGCCGGUCAGUGUUCGCAGGCUCCGACCCGGCGGCCAACACCAGUAAGCUACAAGGAGGAGCUUUCCCACUGCCUGUGCUACUACUACCGGCGCGACUUCCCAGCCUGCAGCGUAGGGCGCAGCAAGGGCCUGACGCUGAGCGAGCAGGCGCUGCACACCAAGCGGUUGUCGCCUGGCGGGCACAAACAGAAGGUCGGGCAGAAGCUCCUUAAUGGCCACUGCAAGCCGGCUAGCUCCGGCUGCAGCCGUUGCCGCACACUCGCCUCACCUGAGGCUGGGUCAGACAAGGGCAGCAUGUGUGAAGACUGCGGGCCAGACCCGUCACCAACCUCUGAGGAAAUGACAGACUCAAUGGCUGGGCACCUGCCAUCGGAGGAUUCUGAUUGUGGGAUGGAGAUGCUGACAGACAGUCAAGGUGACGUGAUCCGGCCCCUGUGGAAGCAGGUGGAGCUGCUCUUCAACACAAGAUACGGUCAGACAAGGGCGGCAUGUCUGAAGACUGUGGGCCAGGAACCUCCGGGGAGCUGGGUUGGCUGAAGCCAAUCAAAAUUGAGCCAGAGGAUCUGGACAUCAUUGCGGUCACUGUCCCAAGUAAGCGACGGACAUCUGACCACCCCCUGCAGAAAUGAGGACCGUAACAUAAGCCUCCUGAGGGUCUGCCCUGGUGAAGAAGAGGCCUCCAGGCCACUGUUUCUCUCCAUGGAUUCUGAGGCCCACCUGGGUAUUGUGAAUUCUUUCUCUGGCCACAUCUGCCCCCUGCAUUGUGAACCAGUGUUCUUAGCUCUGACGUUCCAGAAGAUCCCCUCAAACAUCACCUCCCUGGCUUGGCUUCCCUGGGAUUUGUGAGGCUGGAGAGAAGAAAAAGGCAUAAGCCUGAGAGGCUCCAAGUUGGACCCUACCCCCUGCCAAGCCUCAUUUUCCACAUCUUCAGAGGAGAGGGUAGAUUUGGGCACUGGAGCCUCAGUAUGGGGUGACUGUCAGAAGCCAAGAGGGUGCCGGACGCAGUGGCUCAUACUUGUAAUCCCGGCAUUUUGGGUGGCUGACAUGGGAGGAUUGCUUGAGGCCAGGAGUUCAAGACCAGACUGGGCAACAUAAAAAGACCCCCCAUCUCUACAAAAAAUACAAAACAUUAGCCAAAUGUGGUGGUGUGUGACUGUCAGUGCAGCUUCUCAGGAGGCUGAGGCAGGAGAAUCACUUGAGCCCAAGAGUUGGAGGCUGCAGUGAGCUGUGAUCACACCACUGCACUGCAGCCUGGGCAACCAGAGGAAGACCCUGUCUCAAAAAAAAGAAAUGGCCAGGUGCAGUGGCUCACGCCUAUAAUCCCAGCACUUUCGGAGGCUGAGGCGGGCGGAUCACCUGAGGUCAAGAGUUCGAGACCAGCCUGGCCAACAUGGUGAAACCCCAUCUCUACUAAAAAUACAAAAAUUAGCCAGGUAUGAUGGCUCAUGCCUGUAAUCCCAGCUACUCAGGAGGCUGAGGCAGGAGAAUCGCUUGAACCUGGGAGGCGGAGGUUACAGUGAACCGAGGUGGCACCACUGCACUCCAGCCUGGGCGACAGAGUGAGACUCCAUCUCGAACAAAAAUAAAAAAAGAGAAAGAAAAGGACCCUUGUCUCUGGGGAGACUGGGCUGGGUGGUCCCUGAGGGACUGUGACAGGAGUAUGACAGGCAGAAGACACCCAUGUCAUUUGGAGUUUUGUCUUCAGACCCCUCGCCAACCUCUGAGGAAAUGACAGACUCGAUGCCUGGGCACCUGCCAUCUGAGGAUUCUGAUUGUGGGAUGGAGAUGCUGACACGUAAGAAAUGGAGCUGGGCUGGUGGUUCUUGGGACCCGUCUCCCCAGGGAGCAAAGGGAAAGGGGUGGGCCAGGCAGGCCUCAGGCUUUUCUUGGUGUUGACCGCCUCUAGUAGAGGAAACCCAAUAUAUGCCUGACCCCAGUCCAAGGCUGGGUUCCUUUUGGAAACCUCAA